UGGUAAGAUAUAAUUGCCCACUUAAACA
rnacentral:piRNA from 1 species